rnacentral:sRNA from 1 species
AUAUUAUAUAUUCUAAUGGUUUCUGUUAUUUUUUUACAUUAUAUAUAUAUAUAUAUACAUGCUCUGUUUACCAUAAUACAAGAAUAUUAAUGUAGUUCAAUGGUUGAGUGUCUCUUAUAAGUCCAAAAGGUCAGUUGUUCGACUCUCCUUGUUAGCAAAUUUUCCUUCUUAUAUUCUAAUGUCCAAAAUGACGUCGUUUUGAUUUCACGGAGAUUCUAACGAAAAGUUAACACCGUGAUUGUUUUGUUGACGGAAAAUUAACGACAAGCCCUAAUUGGCCAAGUCAACAAAACUUGAUCAUUUUAUCAAAAGUCAAAAUAAACUUUAGGAUUUAAAUGUCUUUUUGAAAGUUCAGGUUUUUUACGUCCCAAAUUUGAAAGUUCACGAUUUUUUUGACAUUUUUCCCGAUACUCUUCCCUGAAAGCUCAUUAGAUAAUUUGGAAAUACUCUUUCCCGUGCUCGAAAGUUCGUUUCUUAUUCCACAAGUUAAUAAUACGAAGAAUGAUGCAUAGGAGGGUUGAGACUUGAGAUAAACACCAAAUCUUUUAAUCCUAAUCCCUUUAAAUAAACAAU